rnacentral:tRNA from 1 species
GCGGAAGUGGUGGAAUCGGUAUACACGCUAUCUUGAGGGGGUAGUGCCUGCUUGGGCGUGCGGGUUCAAGUCCCGUCUUCCGCACUA